rnacentral:rRNA from 1 species
AUUGAACGCUGGCGGCAGGCCUAACACAUGCAAGUCGAGCGGUUGAGGUAGCUUGCUACCGAUGCAGCGGCGGACGGGUGAGUAAUACAUGGGAAUCUGCCUGGUAGUGGGGGACAACGUUUCAAAAGGAACGCUAAUACCGCAUACGCCCUACGGGGGAAAGGGGGGGAUCGCAAGACCUCUCGCUAUCAGAUGAGCCC